GAAUUAUGGUACCCAUUUCAUGCAGGAGAAAACUCGGGGAACUCAGGGGACAAUCCUUUGGUGGUAUCUCUAGUUGGUGGCAAAACCAGGUCUGGGAUUCUGUUCCCUUAACUCUUGAGUGUCACUACUCAGUGGUUUUGUUUUCCAAGGAAGAAGGCCUGGAUAUUAUGGAUUUUUUUAAAAAAACCAAGGUAAAGGAAAAUAUGUAACAACGGAAAAUAAGUGUUUAUAAUAUCAUGGUGAAUUUAGAAAGGGUAAAAUUGCGUAUGUGAUUAUAAUUAUGUGAAAAGAUGCAUAGCGACUAUACCAAAAUUCUCUCCAGGGCAUGACAGAGUCGUGGGAAUCGCUGGAACGUUUCUAGAGGCGCUGGAUCCAGGGCAAAAAUGAAGACAUAAGGGACCUUAGGUGACAAGGAAGAAGCUCCCAGGCAGCAUGUGGGAUGGACCCAAGGAGAACGUCAGAGAGAAAGAGUUCAGUCUGGUGUCUCCUGAAGCAGGUUAAAAUUAAGCUCGGCAGGCUCGAUGUAAAUGUGCAGACAAAGCAAAGCAGGAAGCCUCCCACACUAAAAAGGGAAGAUAAGAAUCACAGAAGCUGGGAUGGUUUUUAUUGAAGGGCAUUUCAAAGCAAAUACAGACAUCUACAGCAUAUUUGUAAAUCCUCCGUAUGUGUAUGGAAACACACACCUUCACACAUCAAAACUGGAUUUGUUCCUGAGUAACAAAACGUCCUAAGAACAAAAUGAAAGAAAACCAAAUAGCAGAAAAAUACUUCCAAUGUAUACCACAAAGGAUUAUUUAUUAACUCAACACACCAAGAGUUAAGAAAAUAAUGCAACAGGAACAAAGGGCAAAGGAUAUGUACUGGGAAGACCACAGAGAAAGAAAAUGCAAAUGGCUAAUAAUAUAAAAUAUUUCCUAGGUUCAAUAGUAACCAGGGAAAGACAAAAUUACACUUUUGACCUCUUAGACUGGCAGUGACAAAGAUUAUUUGAGUGACCAAGCUUUAGUCAGGCUCUUGGAUCUUCUAGGCCCAUCUGGGCACUUCCUGGUAAAAUACAGUUUUAACAAAAGCCCUGCUAAAUUGGUUUACCGAGAACUCCCACCCUCAAUCGAGUUCCUUAGCCCUUCACCUUUCCUCAGGUGAGGGCUGAUCAUCCUGUCCUGUCUUCAGCAAGAGUGCUCUAACGCUGACGUUUCCUUUUAGUAAUUUUCCAUCCACUGACACCCACUUGUAAUUUAUAGCCAAGGAGCAAGAUACACUGCUCCUUGGCUAUAAGUUAUUUUCCCUGUUACAUUCAGAGUUGAGCCCAAUCCCUCUCCCCGACUACAAAAUCGAUAGCAGUGGUCCCUAUACCUAUUGCAAUGGUCCUAAAUAAAAUCUGC
rnacentral:lncRNA from 1 species